GGCGAUCAGAUACCGCCCUAGUUCUGACCGUAAACGAUGCCAACUCGCGAUCCGCCGGCGGAGCAUUUCGCCCUGGUGGGGAGCGUCCCGGAAACGAAAGUCUUCCGGUUCCGGGGGAAGUAUGGUUGCAAAGCUGAAACUUAAAGGAAUUGACGGAAGGGCACCACCAGGAGUGGAGCCUGCGGCUUAAUUUGACUCAACGCGAGGAACCUCACCCGGCCCGGACACCGUAAGGAUUGACCGAUCGACAGCUCAUUCAUGAUUCGGUGGUUGGUGGUGCAUGGCCGUUCUUAGUUCGUGGAUUUGAUCUGUCUGCUUUAUUGCGAUAACCGAGCGAGACCCACGCCUGCUAAUUAGUCAGUGCAUUGCCAUUGUGCGCGCCGACUUCUUAGAGGGAUUCGCGGUGUUCAGCCGUUUGAAAGUGGGCAAUAACAGGUCUGUGAUGCCCAUAGAUGUCCGGGGCUGCACGCGGGCUACACUGGCAAAACCAGCGUGCUUGUCCUGCCUCGAAGGAGGUGGGUAAACCCGGCAAAAUUUGCCGUGAUUGGGAUCGGAGAUUGCAAUUGUUUUCCGUGAACGAGGAAUUCCAAGUAAGUGCGAGUCAUCAGCUCGCGUUGAUUACGUCCCUGCCCUUUGUA
rnacentral:rRNA from 1 species